ACCAGAGUGCUAGAGCUAAACGUGAGUGAGCACCAAGGGGUGCUGAGAGACAGCACCAAAGAGGGCAGGAGAGGUGUAUAAACACCUAGGCUGAGAGUACUACAAGCACAUAAAAGCUUGGUAGUAGAGAAACUAGAGAGAGGGGAAACAGGGGUUUGAGAGAUAGCUUUGUAUUUACAAGAGAGGGUGAGGGACAAAGCUUGUAACCUCUUGAUCUAGUGGAUUGGUAGCUAGCCUACCCCCUGAGAUGUAGGUACCUCGAAUGAGGCCGAACUCAGGGUCAUAUUCCUCUGUCUUUUGCAAAUCUUAAAAAGCUGAAGUCACUAGACCUACCAAGCAACCAAUUGACCAGGACUAUUCCUCAAUUUUGGACAACCAACUCAAGAGUGAAAUAGGACAAGGAACAAAGAUUACAAAGCAACCUAAAUCUUCCUUUGAAGAGAAUGCAGGGCUCUCUGGUUUUCCUCUAGAGUAAAGUUGCUUUGACACUAACGCGGUGGCCAAUACAACAAAACUAUAAUCAUGAAGAAGAAGAAAGUCAUGAAGUGCUAAAUUGGAUAUCAGUAACACCAUGAUGGACCUGGAGUGUUGCUUGUGUUGGCUACAGGUCAAGUCAUCGUUUCAUACAAACCAGAAUGGGUUGUGAAGAUAAUUAGUGUGAAUAAGCGCAUAAACGUUAGGAUUGUUCAAGUUUUGAGUUUGAGCUUUCAACGUCUGUCGAGUAGUUGUUGAUCUUGUAUUAAAGCAUUUCAUUGUGUUUUCUUUGUGUAUCACUCGAAUUGUUUCGAUUUGAGUUUGAUUUUUCCUUGUC